GCACCAGUAGCUCAGCUGGAUAGAGUACUGCCCUCCGAAGGCAGGGGUCACAGGUUCGAAUCCUGNNGCA
rnacentral:tRNA from 1 species